GAAUAGCUCAGUUGGUUAGAGUGCAGUGCUGAUAAUGCCAAGGUUGCAGGUUCGAUCCUCGUAAGAUCCU